rnacentral:rRNA from 1 species
UAGGAAUCUGCCCAGUAGUGGGGGGCAACCCGGGGAAACCCCGGGCUAAUACCGCAUGCGCUCUACGGAGGAAAGCGGGGGAUCGUAAGACCUCGCGCUAAUGGAUGAGCCUACGUCGGAUUAGCUAGUUGGUAGGGUAACGGCCUACCAAGGCGACGAUCCGUAGCUGGUCUGAGAGGACGAUCAGCCACGACUGGGACUGAGACACCGGCCCAGACUCCGUACGGGAGGCAG